GGGUUGUGAGGUUAAGCGACUAAGCGUACACGGUGGAUGCCCUGGCAGUCAGAGGCGAUGAAGGGCGUACUAAUCUGCGAUAAGCGCCGGUAAGGUGAUAUGAACCGUUAUAACCGGCGAUACCCGAAUGGGGAAACCCAGUGUGAUUCGUCACACUAUCAUUAACUGAAUCCAUAGGUUAAUGAGGCGAACCGGGGGAACUGAAACAUCUAAGUACCCCGAGGAAAAGAAAUCAACCGAGAUUCCCCCAGUAGCGGCGAGCGAACGGGGAGGAGCCCAGAGCCUGAAUCAGCAUGUGUGUUAGUGGAAGCGUCUGGAAAGGCGCGCGAUACAGGGUGACAGCCCCGUACACAAAAGCGCAUGUGCUGUGAGCUCGAUGAGUAGGGCGGGACACGUGGUAUCCUGUCUGAAUAUGGGGGGACCAUCCUCCAAGGCUAAAUACUCCUGACUGACCGAUAGUGAACCAGUACCGUGAGGGAAAGGCGAAAAGAACCCCGGCGAGGGGAGUGAAAAAGAACCUGAAACCGUGU
rnacentral:rRNA from 3 species